rnacentral:rRNA from 1 species
GACGUAGGGCGCGAGCGUUGUCCGGAAUUAUUGGGCGUAAAGAGCUCGUAGGCGGCUUGUCACGUCGGGUGUGAAAGACCGGGGCUUAACCCCGGUUCUGCAUUCGAUACGGGCUGGCUAGAGUGUGGUAGGGGAGAUCGGAAUUCCUGGUGUAGCGGUGAAAUGCGCAGAUAUCAGGAGGAACACCGGUGGCGAAGGCGGAUCUCUGGGCCAUUACUGACGCUGAGGAGCGAAAGCCAGGGGAGCAAACGGG